UUUUUUUUUUUUUUGAUGUAUGGCAUAAUAAAAAAAAUAAAAAAUAAUAACCUCCGUGCAUUUGUGUGGUGCGAUCUCAUUGGUGGGUGUUGGGUGUUGACGCGUCAAGGCCCCACGAAGAAGAAGAAGAAGAAGACGAAGAAUACGAGGGAAAAUAAGCAGGGAAAGUUAGACAAGGAGGAAAAAGAAGCGUGGAAAAUUAACUUGACCAAGCUGAAAAUGAAUCACCUUGACCCCGAAGAUGCCAUAUUCCUGGUUGAUGCAUUCCUGGAUGAGUGCAAGGUGGAUCAGCAUGGACAAACUAAAGGAGGUUCAAAACAAUCCACAAAGUUGUGUGUUUGGCCUGAUGAGGACAAAGAUGGUCAACCUCUGCCAAAAAGAUGUAGAGCUGGAGAGAAACGAAAGCGAGAUUCAGCUACUGUUUCUUCAGCAAGCGUUAAAAGCGUGUCCUGUGCUCCGUCUACCAGCACAACUGAAGACACAGUGAUCAUCGAAAAUUUUGACUCCCUCAUUCAAGAUGUCCGAGAACUCUUGGGAAGUGGUGAUGAACAGUCUUUCCCCUCAGAGUGGAGUAACAGGCAAACUACCUCUCUGGAGAAUUGGACAGUAAUGAGGCCCUUCAUGGUGAACAAUAUGUUGCCAUCUGAGAAGCCCAAGGAGGGGGUUUGCCAUCACUGUGGACACAAGGCUGCAGUAGUGAUGUGUAGGGACUGUUUACCACGAUCACUCUACUGCACAGCCUGUGACCUUUCCACACAUGAGGCCCUGGUGCUUCAUAACAGAGCAUCCAUGGUGGAGGGGUUCUUCAGACAACUGCAGCCAUCCACUUUUGUUCAGCAGCACGAGGGAGGGAAAUUCUCCUAUCAUGAAAAAGAUUGCAUGUUACCAAUCGUUCCUCCCUGCUGCGACUGCUCCACUGGGCAAACAAGCUUUUCCAAGGGAAAGCCAGUUAUUUUAAUUGGAAUGAAUGGAAGAUACAACCUCUUCCUUCCAUCAGUAAACUGCUCCUGUGGAAAAACCUUGCCAGUGACCAUAAGUGAUCUGGUUGAAAGUGGUUACUGGCCAGCCACUGUCAAUUUUGAGACCUUGUACAUGGUGGACUUGUUCACCACGUAUGAGGAUCUAAAAAUCACUGCCCCAGGGAUGUCCAGACAAGCUUUUGUCAGCAUGCUCGAGUGUCGUACAAAACUCUUCGGGCGAAGUGGUAAGAUUUGUGGGGACACAAUGCAGAGGGCCUUCCUCGAAUGGGCCUAUGCCAAAUUUGAGGUUGACAAGCUGUCUCAGGUCCAGCAUUUUCAGUGCCCUGCAUGCACACCAUCCAUGUUGGCAGUUGCAGUGGAUGGGAACCGCAAAUUAUAUCGUUUCAAAAGCCAACCAGGACCUGAUGGGUUUUUUGAUGGAGUCUUUUUGGACAAUGAUGCUGAUGUGUCCUCCUUUGUUGAUUACAUCCAUGAAACAACUGGACAUAAUCCAGGGAAAGGGAGAUGUGGUGCGGGUCAGUGGACCGCAGCACGAGAGUCUGCCAACAAGUCUGGAAGCAAACUAGACGAGGAAGGUGUUGAAGUUGCUGUCUGCCGUCAUGGGGUUUUGCUCAAGGGACUGAAUAUGUUCCGUGGAGAAAUAUUUGCAUACCCAUUAUCUCCAGAAACAGCUAGCUUCACAGACCGUCCAGUUUUUUUGCUCUGAUGUGGUCUGCAAAUAUUGGCCAUAUCUGCAGAAAGUUGUGGGCCACUGUCCAGAGUUGGAGGACUUGCUGAACAUGCGCCCAUUUCUCUCCAUCAUGCAUGCAAAAGCGCAUUCAUGGAUGUGUGAGUUAAAAUGGGGGAGACGCAAUCAAGAAGGAGCUGGAACAACAAUCGGGGAGGAGGUUGAACAGGUUAACAGCUUCCUCUCUCGAGCAGCCAUAUGUUCCAAGUACAUGUCAAAAGCCGUUCGCACAGACAUGCUAACUAUCCAGGCAAGUGGCUGGAACAAGCGAAAGGCAGAAAACCUUGACCGGACACUGGCCAAAAGAUACAUCAAGACUGUACAAAGGAUUGCA